GACAAAGCGUUCAUCCCGUGACCGCGGCUACGUUCAGCGACUAGCUGUCGCCUCGAGCCCAAGCUCAUUAUCACAACUCGCGAACAAUUACAAUCGGAUUGAAUAACUACAAUUGUUCAAUUACAGCUAUAGUAGACUCUAGAUUACAAUGUUGCGGGAUUAUCCAAAAUUCCAAAGGCUCCGGUGUUCUUUCAUCUCCGACAUAUAUAUAUAUAUAUAUAUAUAUAUAUAUACACAAGGAAAUUAAGAAAGGACAACAAAACAUUACUAGGAACAUUCUUAAUUCGCGUGCAAAACAGAUCAAUCAUGCUAAAAACUAGCUGAAUAUUGUGCAGCUACAAAUCAUAGCGACCGACUGACGAUCGAAGAAGGAAAAUUUAUAAGGCCAAACAAUAUGAUCGAAUUAUAUAACAAUAUCGUGGUCUCAUUUUAAUCAAAAAAAUUUCACUAUAUGCAAAGAUAUGUGAAGCAACUGCGAGCCGUUUAUUGUCAUAAAAUGGUCGCCCCAAACGCCAUGUAUCAUGUACUUACCUAAGUGUCUACAUAGUAUCAGUAGCGUGAGCAGUGAGCAUUCUCAUUUCCUCUCUGUACAAAAUAAUGCUCGAUGAUAAGUGGGAUUUUCAUGUUGUAUAUAAGAGAACAUUUUAAUACUAAUAAAAUAUAUAUAGUGGGAAAUUUAGUUAAAUAUAUUAUUGUAGAAGAUAAUCAUGUUUGACGUAUUACAACGUGCAUAAGUCUGUAAAAAUAAUGAAGAUUCAUGUUUCUUAUAUGUAUUAAUAGUAUGUAUAUGGUUAUCUUUUGUACGUGGCUCUUAAGGUGGUGGCCUAUUCAAUACUCAAAGAGAUACAAAAUACCGAAGUUAAUUAACGAAUUAACGAAUGGAGAAAUUUAUAAAAACAAUAGAAAUGAAUGUGAAAGAUAUACAACAAUUUGUACCAAAAAAUAAGGUUUUAGAUAGAUAUUCCAAGUAUAUAUUAACAUAUAAUUUUCUGAAAUUGAUCAUGUUCAUUAUUCUGCUUGGUGUAAUAAUAGUAUUUUUACAACAAAGCAAAUGCAUUAUUAUAGAAGAAUAUAAAAUAGAUAUAAUCUCUAGAAAUGAUGAAAUUCUACAGAAUACGAAUUAUAAACUGGUUAAUGAUUCUAUGAUAUUAUCUAAAAAAGAAAAUUUUGAAUAUGAUAUAGAAUCUCAUGACACAAUAUUGAAAUUUCCUAGAAUUGUGCAAAAGCAGUGCAAUAACAUUCCCGUUACAUUACGCUUUGAUUGUCAUCCUGAAGAUGGAGCAUCCGAAUUAUCCUGUAGAAAUAGAGGUUGUUGUUGGAAUUCUCUUAACAAAAAAAUAUCAACGACAAGACCUGUUCCUUUGAAUCUUCCAUAUUGUUAUUAUCCAAGUGAUUGGAGCAUAUACAGGUAUCAAAAUUUUAGUAAAGAAGGAAACAACUUUUUUGGAUUCCUCAAACAAAUAAAAAGCUCCUUUUAUGAAGAUGACCUACCACUGGUUAAAGUAGAAACCAGCACUAUAGAUGAUACUAUUCUACGUAUAAAAAUAUAUGAUCCUCUUAAGAAACGAUAUGAACCACCAUGGCCUCUCAGAGCAGAUCCCAAACCAUUUUUUCAAAAAAACGUUAAUGCAAAAUACAAAUUAGAAAUUGAUAAUACUAAACCUGGUUUUAAAGUAUACAGAACCUUAGAUGAUACAGUGAUAUUUGACUCUAUUAAUACAGGAGGUUUCAUAUUUGCUGAUCAGUUUUUGCAGAUAAGCGCUCUUUUGCCGAGCCAUAAUAUUUAUGGUAUUGGCGAACAUAAAACGAAGCUAAAAUUAAAUACUAAUUGGCAAAUGUUUACAUUAUUGAACAAGGAUCAACCACCAAUAGAAAAUGCAAAUUUAUAUGGAUCUCAUCCCUUCUAUCUCAUAAUUGAAAAUUCCGGAAGGUCUCACGGGCUUCUAUUUCUCAAUAGUAAUGCAAUGGAUGUGAUAUUACAACCGUCGCCUGCUAUUACCUUUCGAACUAUUGGUGGUGUUUUUGAUAUAUAUUUCUUUCUGGGUCCAACCCCGACAGAUGUCAUAAAACAAUAUUCUGAGAUAAUAGGCAAACCAUUUCUCCCACCAUAUUGGUCUCUUGGUUUUCAUUUAUGCAGAUACGGAUAUGGAACCUUAGAAAAAACAAAGGAAAUAUGGAAUAGAACCAUAGCAGCGGGAAUUCCAUUUGAUACUCAAUGGAAUGAUUUAGAUUACAUGGAUAAAAAUAACGAUUUCACAUAUAAUCCAAAAACAUUUAAGGAGUUACCACAAUUUGUGAAUGAAAUACAUUCAAGAGGAAUGCAUUAUAUUCCCUUAAUCGAUGCGGGAAUAUCUGGUUCUGAAAAGCACGGAACUUAUUUGCCAUAUGAUGAAGGUAUGAAAGAAGAUAUAUUUAUAAAAGAUGGAGCAACUGAUCAGCCAUUUGUUGGCAAGACGUGGAAUUUUGUUUCUACUGUGUGGCCUGAUUUUACGAAUCCCAAAACGCAAAACUAUUAUUUCCACAUGAUGAGCAACAUGCAUGAUAGUUUUGCAUACGACGGUGCUUGGAUCGAUAUGAAUGAGCCAUCUAAUUUUUACGAUGGACAUAAAAAUGGAUGUCCAAAAAGUAAAUUGGAUUAUCCGAAAUAUGUACCGAACGUUGUAGGAGACAUACUCGCAACAAAAACAUUGUGCAUGAACGCUAAGCAUUACUUAGGUCUUCAUUAUGAUCUUCAUAAUACUUAUGGCACAAGUCAAGCAAUAGCAACGAAUUAUGCACUAACCAAUAUUCGACGAAAAAGACCAUUUAUAAUAUCGCGUUCAACUUGGGUGGGUCAUGGGCACUAUGCUGGUCAUUGGACAGGAGAUGUUUAUUCCUCAUGGCACGAUUUAAAAAUGAGUAUUCCAGCAAUAUUGUUGAUGAAUUUUUACCAAAUACCAAUGGUUGGUGCUGACAUUUGUGGAUUUAAUGGAAAUACAACAGCGGCAUUAUGUAAUCGUUGGAUGCAACUUGGUGCAUUUUAUCCUUUUUCUCGUAAUCAUAAUUCCGACGAUACAAUCGAACAAGAUCCAGUUGCUAUGGGCGAUUUAGUAAUAAAAUCAUCAAAGCGUGCCCUUACGAUACGUUACUGGUUGUUACCCUAUUUAUAUACGUUAUUAUUUCGAGCACAUAAAUUUGGAGAAACUGUAGCACGACCAUUAUUCUUUGAAUACUCGAACGAUUCGGCCACAUACGAUAUCGACACUCAGUUCUUAUGGGGUAGUUCUUUGAUGAUAAUUCCAGUUUUAGAAGAAAACAAAACGAAAGUAUCAGCUUAUUUACCACAUGGAGUGUGGUAUAAUUUUUAUACAAAAGAAUCCGUCUUCGCGCUGGGUAAAUAUUACACGAUGAAUGCGCCACUCGAUACUAUACCAUUGAUGAUUCGCGGAGGAUCCAUUUUACCAGUACAGAAACCAGCUGAUACUACAACUAGCAGUAGAAAGAAUAAUUUCGAAUUAUUGAUUACUUUGGAUCAUGUGAAAAAGGCAAAAGGCGAACUAUAUUGGGAUGAUGGCGAUAGUUUAGAUUCGCUGGAGAAGGAACAAUUUGUAUGGUCAGUUUUCACCAUUGAGAAUGAUACUCUAUCCACUGCCAAAGCAAUGAAGAGUUCUUUUAAUGAAAAAAUGAUCUUAGGAGGAAUACAAAUAUGGGGAAUAACAUCUAAUAUUUCACAAGUAUCUUUAAACAAUCACGAAAUACAAUUUAAAUAUGACAGCAAAGAAAAUUGUUUGAACAUAAGCAACUUACAAAUAGACUUAAGAGAGAAUUUCUUGCUUUCUUGGGAAUACACUGAUUUUGAACAACACGAUGACAGUAACAAAUGACAGUAAACUUGCUCAAAAUAUAUGUUCACUUGUAUUACAUAUAAUAUUGUUGCUACAGCCAGAACUAGGAGCAACGGAGUUAGGCUUAGCGAGGCAAUACGUUCGUGUUCAAAGUAACUAUAGUUGGUUAUCGUAUUCUUAUCGUUUCGAUAUUUCCUCUCUUCUCCCCCUCUUACUUCCUUCUAUUUCGCUUUCCCACUUUUGUUCGCGUUUCUCCUCUCUUUAGUUCUUUAACUCCUUUUUUCGUUCUGUUUUUCCUUCGUCCACAGUCUAUUGCACUAACUUUUUAUUUAUUGCAUCAAACAAGCGUGCGUCGGGUGAUACAUUUAAACGGAUUCUUGUUUGAAGCUUACGUGUCGUCGUGAAUAUCUUAAAUCAUAGUUAUAAUCGUUUACCAAUCCUACAUUCGUAAUCGAAAUCCAGAAAUUAAAAGUGGGCUAAUGAAAGAAAUACGAAAAAAGCCAAUAUCAUGGAAAUAACUAGGCGCGUUCUUUUCCCCUUCUUACUUACAAUUCCUUCGGUGCAUACUUACUAAUGACAACUUCUCUUUUCACGUGGUAGCUUUCCGUAAAUGCGCGUUUCGUUCGUGCGCGCAUUGGAAUCACCGAGGCUGUUACAAGGAUACAAGGAUACCGGAAGAAAUGGAAUAACGAUAAAACCGAUAGUCGAAGAACAACAAUUUACCCAGUUUUCGCGGAAGAAUCAAAGAAUUCAGCCGAAUGGUUACGUGAUGAAAUAGACCAACGUACUGACAAUGAGAAUACACGGAGCUUUUUCUUCUGACCGACAAAAUGAUUGAUAUCAGUACAAGAGGGAAUAGUAGCUGCGAAAUAACAGCGGCCAUAUAAAGAAAGAAGUACGGCAGAACAACAGGGUUAUUGUUCGUCGGUGAUGGUCGUCGCGACGAUCGACUGACUGCUUGUUCCUCGCGGCGGUACGCUGCUUCCUCAACAGCGAUUGCGCGCCUUUUUCCACGCAAGCGCAAUUCACGGUCGAUAUCGCUCUGGAUUUUACCCCUCAGCCCAGCCAGACACCCUCUCCACCCUGCUUCAGACUCUUUCCAUACCUUUUUCGUUCCUUCAACCCUCCUUCUUCGAUUUUCUCGUCUACAAUCUUUCGUCUUUCUUUCCUCCAACUCGGUCAUUCGCUGUACUUUCUUUCAACUAACAGAGUCCAAUUCCGACUGCUGCUACUACGCUAAUUCCUCAUUAUCUUCAGAGAAUAUGUUUCUUUGGAGGAGAAUUCAAUACUCAUCGAUAUGUCAGUAAAGUUGUUGUCAAUAAAAUAGUUAUUUAUUCA